rfam:Ascaris lumbricoides genome assembly, scaffold: ALTE_scaffold0000578
GGGGGUUUAGCUCAGCGGUAGAGCGCUCGCUUUGCAUGCGAGAAGUCGAGGGUUCGAACCCCUCAUCCUCCA